AAUUGAUUAGUCCAAAAAAGACAAUUGUUUUGAAAACAAUAAAUGAUUAUUAAAUAAAUCAUCAAUUU
rnacentral:tRNA from 1 species